UGAUAUCGAUUCGUUCGGAACUGCUGCGUGCGUCGUGAUCUGCGGUCUAUUGGAGUGGUAGAGACCGUUAUCCUCCAGCGCCCAGCGGCAGGCCAGCAGCGCGGUGAAUGUGGAGUAUUUUUUUUAGAAAAGAAGAGAAAAACAAGCAGCACACGUUCCUGUCCUUGUCCGGUACAGCAAUGGCACGCACGUCUUGUGAUUUUCGAGUUCCAGGCCAACCGAACAAGCUACUACACUGGUGGAAAGGAAAAAAACUCGGGUCUCAAUCCGAUAGAUCAGUGACCGCAUUCACGGCGGGGUUGACCAUCAUGAAGGCUACCGCAGCGCCCGGCCGGCCGUCCAAAUCGGUCACGCGGCAUAGUGACCGCGACGCGACGUCUUU
rnacentral:lncRNA from 1 species